rnacentral:lncRNA from 1 species
UGACUAUAUUAAAAUAAAGAACUUUUGUUUGCCAAAAGAUAGCAUGAAAUAAGCAAAAAAGCAAGGUACAGAGUACAAGAUAUUUGCCACAUGUAUAAUUGAUAAAGAAUAGCCUCCAGGAUAUAUGAAAACUCUUUCAAAUCAAUAAUAGACAAUCACAUUGAAAAAAAAUGAGCAAAGACUUGAACAGAAGAAAAUAUAAAUGGUCAAUAAACAUGCAAAUAUGCUCACUCUCAUUAUUAAUUAGGGAAAUGCAAGUAUAACAACAGUGAGAUACCAUUAACUAUCCUCUAGAUUGGCUAAAAUUCAACAGUUUGAUAACACCAAUUGUUGGCAAGGAUGUGAUGCGGCAGGAACUCUUCAGACUGCUGUUGAUUAAUUGGUGUGUUCAGUUUGGGAAACAAUUUGGCAUUAUCUAGUAAAGUUGAAGAUACAUAUAUCCCGUGAUGGCUAUUCUACUGCCAGGUCGAUGAUCUUAAAGAUCUCCUAGGAUACAUGCAUCAGGAUAUUCAAAGCAGCAUUGUUCAUCAUACCCCACACUGAAUACAACAAAACGUCUAUCCACAGUAAAAUAAAUAAAUACAUCAUGGUACAUUCCUAUGAUGGGAUACAUUACAGCAAUGCAAAUGAACAAAUUGCAGUUCUACUCAACAACAUGGAUGAAUCUCAUAAACAAAAUAUUGAAUGACAGAAGUAAGGCACAAAAGAAUAUACACAGUAUGAUCCAUUCAUCUAAAGUUCAAAAUGAGGCCAAAUGAAAUGAUGUUGUUUAGGGAUACAGACACAGGUGGUAAAACUGUAUAGAAAAGCCAAGAAAAUGAUUAUCACAAAAGUCAGGAUAGUGGAUACCUCUGAUGAAGAGAGAGGAGUUUAUGACCAAGAGGAGACAAAGAGCAGGGACUGGGAGAGGGUAUGAGGAGGGGUUCUGGGAGUAGGAAAUGUUUCAUUUCCUCACAUUGGUAUGGUUCUGUAGGUUUUCCUUUCAUGAUGUUUCAUCAACGUGUAUAUUUAUGUCAGUUAUAUUUCAUAAUUGUUUUAAACAAAGGAAUGAUCAGCACAAGGAGUGGCAGAGGUAUGACAUCCAGGAAAAGUGCACGGGUAGCUUCACCAUUGUUGGUAAUGUUCUUAAGUUAGGUGUGGAUUCAUGAGUGUUCAUUUUUAUGCUCAUAACUUACAUAUAGUUUAUAUGUUAGAUACAUCUUAUACGUUAAAUAUGCAUAAGAAAUUUAUAAUAAAUUAAAAGCAGAGAGGAAUCCUGAUAGUAGGAAAUAGGAUGGUUUGCACCAGGAUUGUCAUCUAGGAAGCUAUCGUAUAGUUAAUCUGGACAUAAUAAGAAUGUUAGAGACUGGAGUCACUGCCAUCUCUUUCAGGGAAGAGAUUGACAGACAGGGGCCAUAUUUUCUACCAUAUUAUUCUCAUUCCCCUGACUACAUACAUAGAUGCCAAGACUAUAAAGCAAAAUCAUGAAAUGUUUAUCACAAAAGUCAGGAUAGUGGAUACUUCUGAACUGGAGGUGGGCACCCCUCUUUCUUAUCUUUUUGUCUUCAUAGAAAAGGUACAAAAAGACAUAUGUACUAACCAAAUUUCGAGGUUCCUAAAUAAUGGAGACUAACUCUCGGUUAGUUAGAGAGAAAAUGAAUUUAUUGAAAGGACAUUACAUAGCUCACAAAAUUGAUGGAAAAGCUGAAGAAUGAGGCUUGGAACUUGGAAAGGAGCCAUGGGAAAUUAGGCAGCCCGAAAUAGAGACCAAAUCAAUACACAGGAAGCAUCUGGUUAGUAUCCAACUGCGUCUGUCAUUGGCACAACCACCAUCAGACGUUGGACAGUACCCUUAUUGCUUCCUCUUCCACCUCUGGAAAGAUUCUAAGUGCCAUUUGCUUCUUUCUGUUACUCCAGAAUCAAGGUCUUAGGUAGGAGUGUCUGAUUGGAAGGUCCUGUGCCCAAAUUCUAGAGACAAGGGAUCUGGAAAAGGGGCUAUUUGUCCAUACUUAAGCUUCUUUAUUGGAUUUUUUUCCAAAUAGGAAGUGUUAGAUACUAGGAGGCCAAAAAUGAAAAACUCCUAUCACAAGGAAUAUUAGAAAUAAACAUAUCUGGCUUCUGCCUAUUCACAGCGAGGAGAAAAGAUUAAUAGGAUCAGUUAAGAUCUGUGAAAUUCACAGGGCCAUGCUUUUACUUGGAGACAAGGGAUUCUGCACAGUCACUGAACUGAAAGGCAGCCAGGCUUUCUCUUCCUUCUGCUUUGCAGUGCACCACUCUUUCUCUUUUCUAGUUUUUCUGCCUGUGAUUGGCAGUGGGAACUGGGGUGGAAUUCUGAUCAGUCCUGCCAGGCCAGGAAGCUAUCUUCAAUUCAGGAAGGUGAGAUGUGACCCUGCUGCUGUCUCCAAACUGGCCAGCAUCAGAGAACUCUUCAAGGGUAUGUUUUUGGGUGCCUGACCAACCACGAAGACAACUGACAUUUGGGCCGGGCAUGGUGUAAUCCUAGCACUUUGGGAGGCCAAGGCAGGAGGAUCACAUGAGCUCAGAAGUUUGAGGCCAGCCUGGGCAACAUAGUAAGACUUUGCCUCUACAAAACAUAGAAAUAUUAGCUGGAUGUAGUGGUGCAUGUCUAUAGUCCCAGCUACUUGAGAGGCUGAGGCAGGAGGAUGGCUUGAGCUGGGGAGAUUGAAGUUGCAGUGGAUGGUGAUAGCACCACAGCACUCCAACCUGGGCAGGCAACAGAGCAAGAUCCCAUCUCAAAAAAAAAAAAAGACAGCUGACAUUUGGAUUCUUGUUUGGCUGGUGAUCUAGUUUUUCUGUCAUGCAAAACCCUGGAGGAAAAGAGGGAUGGGUGAUAGGAAUCAGACUCUAAAUUCCACCCUAAACUUCCAGUUAGCGGUGCCUUAGACUGGCUGGUGAUACAACCUAAUAUGAAAUGGCUAUAUCAGAUUCAUCUCUUUGAGAAUCUGAACUUGGAAGAACUGAGCCCUCAGCAGAUGUGGGGAGAGAAGAGACACAUGUGAGAGGCUGUGUGAUAGUUGCCUUAGUAUUUGAUGAUGCUGUGAUCAGCUGCAGGCCAUAGUCUCCCUACAAAUAGUUAAUGAACACACUAAUGAAGUUCAAUCACGUUUAUGAAUAAACACUGAUUAAAACAAUGAGAUAGAUGUCUUCUUCUUUUUCUUUUCUUACUCAAAAUGUCAGUAACCCUGUUGGCAGGCGUAUAAGAACAGUUGUGCUCUUACACUUUGCUAUUGAAAGUAUAAAUUGAUAGACUUUCUGGAAGACAGCUUGGAAAUACAUAAAUAUAUACUGAAACUUUAAAAUUAUGCGUGUCCUUUGACCCAACAAUUACACUUCUUGGAACUUUUUUAUUUUUAUCUGUUUUAGAGAUAGGAUAUUGCUCUAUUGCCCAAGUUGGCUUCAAACUCCUGGGCUCAAGUGAUUCUCUCACCUCAGCCUUCCGAUAACUGGGACUACAGGCACACGCCACUGCACCCAGCCAUUGGAAUUUAUCCUAAAGAAAGAAUUUAGGAUGUGAAAAAAGAUUUAGUUAUAAAAGUUCAUUCAUCACAAUGCUAUUUACAAUAAGAAUAUUUCCAAACUGUUGGAAACAAUCUAAAUGUCCAGCAGUAUAGACUGACUAAAUUAUGAUGGAAGCUUAAAAUAGUAUAUUCAGCCAUUAAAAAUGGUUUUGCAGAAACUUACUUUUAAAUGAGGCUUCUGAGUCAAAAACAAAAACAAUUAAUCAUUUGUAGCAAAAGCAGCAGCCCAAGCAACAUCCUAUGUUGGUUUCCAAGGGUCAUCAUGAGGGCGAGAUGGUACCUGCACAUGCAGCGGGGUGCAUUACAGGACAGGAGCCCUGUAAAAAUUAGGAAACUCUGAUCUUCUAUAUAACUGCCAGAGACCUGCCCAUCAUCCUCUCCAGAGAGAGAGAAACCUUAGUUUACUCUGGAAUGUAAGCAAGUCUUGUCCAGGAAGGGAGGAAGAAGAGUUCUUUAUCUUUACUAUCCUGGACCAUCUCCAGGGAGGUAAACAUGUCUACGCUUUACUAUCCUGAGAUGUCUCCUUAUAUAAGUAUUCUUGAAUUGUUUGCAAUUGCCUUCGAUCAGAGGACCUGAGCCAUGCAGAAAAGUGAGAUGUUCAGGGUAAAUCUUCUUCUAACAUUGACUGUAUGUGAAGGGCAUUAGAUGCAAC